AAGAGGCCCAGCACAGCACGA
rnacentral:misc_RNA from 1 species